GCUGGGCAUGGUGGUGCAUGCCUGUAAUCCCAGCUACUCGGGAGGCUGAGGCAGGAGAAUUGCUUGAACCCAGGAGGCGGAGGUUGCGGUGAGCUGAGAUCGCGCCAUUGCACUCCAGUCUGGGUAACAACAGCGAAUCUCCAUCUCAAAAAAAAAAAAGAAUAUGUAAGAUACAUAUAUGCAGCAUGUUUUUUUUUUUUGAGACAGUCUUGCUGCCCAGGCUGGAGUGCAGUGGCAUGAUAUGGGCUCACUGCAACCUCCAUCACCUGGGUUCAAGCCAUUCUCCUGUCUCAG
rnacentral:SRP_RNA from 1 species